rnacentral:tRNA from 1 species
GGUUCCAUCGUUCAUCGGUUAGGACGAUACGUUGUCAGCGUAUAGAGAGGGGUUCGAUUCCCCUUGGAAUCGCCA